GAUGAACGCUGGCGGCGUGCCUAAUACAUGCAAGUCGAGCGAACAGACGAGGAGCUUGCUCCUCUGACGUUAGCGGCGGACGGGUGAGUAACACGUGGAUAACCUACCUAUAAGACUGGGAUAACUUCGGGAAACCGGAGCUAAUACCGGAUAAUAUAUUGAACCGCAUGGGUCAAUAGUGAAAGACGGUUUUGCUGGCACUUAUAGAUGGAUCCGCGCCGCAUUAGCUAGUUGGUAAGGUAACGGCUUACCAAGGCAACGAUGCGUAGCCGACCUGAGAGGGUGAUCGGCCACACUGGAACUGAGACACGGUCCAGAGUCCUACGGGAGGCAGCAGUAGGGAAUCUUCCGCAAUGGGCGAAAGCUUGACGGAGCAACGCGGCGUGAGUGAUGACGGUCUUCGGAUCGUAAAACUCUGUUAUUAGGGAAGAACAAAUGUGUAAGUAACUAUGCACGUCUUGACGGUACCUAAUCAGAAAGCAACGGCUAACUACGUG
rnacentral:rRNA from 1 species